rnacentral:rRNA from 1 species
UUUGGCCCAGAUCGUUUACCGUGAAAAAAUUAGAGUGUUCAAAGCAGGCAGAUCCAAUUUUCUGCCACCGAAUACAUUAGCAUGGGAUAAUGGAAUAGGACCCUGUCCUCCUAUUUUCAGUUGGUUUUGGCAGCGCGAGGACUAGGGUAAUGAUUAAUAGGGAUAGUUGGGGGCAUUAAUAUUUAAUUGUCAGAGGUGAAAUUCUUGGAUUUAUGAAAGAUUAACUUCUGCGAAAGCAUCUGCCAAGGAUGUUUUCAUUAAUCAAGAACGAAAGUUAGGGGAUCGAAGACGAUCAGAUACCGUCGUAGUCUUAACCAUAAACGAUGCCGACCAGCGAUUAGGAGACGUUGAAUACAAAACACCACCAUCGGUGCGGUCGUCCUUGGCGUCGGUCUUUCGGGGCCGGCGCGGGGACGGCUUAGCCCGGUGGCACCGGUGAAUGACUCCCCUAGCAGCUUGUGAGAA